GGGAAGGAGUGGGGAAGGUGUAGGAGCUGAGAAAAAGAGACACUAUUGGAACAUUUCAUAUUAAAAUGCUAGCAAUAAUAGUUGUCACUGCCACACACACACCAGUUCAAUAAUAUGAUUAAGAGUUAAAUCUCAAGUAAACACAAAUGAGUUCCCUCAAAAAAAAAAAUGUAAACGCAAAUGAGACUUGUAAAAUAUUAAUCUGAAGUUAGCUAGCUUCCUAACUCAAUAAUACAAAUCGUCUGUCGUCAAAAAAAUAAUACAAAUGCUCAUUCAUCAGGUGUCACUAGCACACAGUUCAAUAAUAUGAUUACCC
rnacentral:misc_RNA from 1 species